CGAAAGACUCGGCAGAGAUCCCGAGGGACCUCGCGACCCCAGGCCACUUCACUAUCACCCAGGCGCCCGGACCCCAGCCUAGGACUGGGGGUUCCCGGGCCCUGGACAACUCGGCACACUUGGACACCCCCUAGAUGCCCAGACCUCCGAACCCCUCCCCGGUACCCGGGCCUGACCCAGGGUGAAGAGGUAGCAGGCCUGACGGGAGAAGAUACCACCACCCUGAUGCAACCUUCCAAGUCAACUGGAUCCCUUCUUCUGCUCCACUCCCUCAGGAAAACCCUUAUCCUUUUCCCGUAGGGCAAGGGGGCACAGGAGCCAAAUCUAUUGCUCAGCCAUAUACGUACUGAUCCACACAUGAAUUUUAAAAGAAUGUUAAGUUAACUGCUGUCAUUUAAAAUCAAGGAUAUUUCACAGGAAAAUCCACGUGUCUGGCUCCUCUUGAUGAACGGAAGUGACUGGCCAUCCUGGGCCUGCAUUUUCCAUGGCCAUUGCCGCUGCCCCCUCUGGAGGAGGCUCUUCAGGAGCGCCCACCACACCCACUGCUACCUGCAGGGGGAAAACUUCCAAACCUGGAUCCUUCCAGCAUCAGACCUGUACAUGCAUCUGCCGUCCUGCCAGCUCCUGACUGGCCCACAGGCCUUUCGGACCAAACGUGUCAAAUCUGAGCACUUCGCGUUCCCGGAACCUGCUCCUCCUCUGGUAUUCCCGAGCUUGGGGAAUAGCGCUGCUGCCCACCCAGGCUUGUGGGCCAGAAACUCAGCUGAAGAGUUAUCACCCUGCUGCCCAGGUACCAAACACAAGCCAUUCUGCUUCUUAAAAAAUUCUCAGCCCCAGUCCCUCCUCUCUACCCCUCCAGCCCCUACUUCUGCGCCUAGACCUGAGAGAGCCUCCUGACUGGUCCCACUGUACCUCUGCUCCGCCCUACCCUCGUCCUUACCAAAAACGACCAUUUUAUUGAGUGUUUAGUACCUUUCAGGUAUUGCGAUAAGUGCGUUGCAAGAAUCACUUCAUUUAAUCCCCACAGGGUAUUAGUAUGAACCCCAGACUACAGAUGAGAAAACAAGCCUUGAAAAGUAGAGCUAUCCAUCCACGGCUAUAUAUUCAAGCAGGACAGGAGUCACAGUGGAUGACACCCAUGGGUGCCAGACUCCAGGGCCCAAGCUGGAAAUCACUGUGCCGUCCAGCCUCUCUGCUUUGUCCACUUCCAGUCACAAGUCUCUCCUUGAGGUAGAAAUUAAGGCCUCUUCAGUCCUGGAUUCCCCCGUGCCAAGCACAGAGCUGGCCUUGAAGAGGCCCCAGCAACAUAUCCCCGAACACUACAUGUGCAGGGAUGGUGAUUCCCAGCAACCGCUCUCUUUGCUCCUGUGCUGAAGGCUGACUGGGAGCUCCUCAAGGGCCCAGGCUCGCACUCAGAAAGUCUGUGCUUUCAGUCAGUAUUUGUAACUGAAUGAAUAAUACAGGUUACAGUUAGGGCACUGAGUAGUUUCUACUUCCUGGGUACUGUCCUCGGUUCUCUAUGUACAUUAGCUCAUAAAGACACUACGACAUUGGGGAGAUUAUGUGCUAUGGUGAGCGCUGUGAAUUGUGUAAGACUGUUGAAUCACAGACCUGUACCUUUGAAAUAAAUAAUACACUAUAUGUUAAAAAAAAAAAAAAAAGAUAGCAGGAAGGGAAAAAUGAAGGGGGGGUGGAGAUCGGAGGGGGAGACGAACCAUGAGAGACUAUGGACUCUGAGAA